CGCGUAACACGUAAGCAACCUGCCCCGAAGACCGGGACAACAGCCCGAAAGGGCUGCUAAUACCGGAUGUGGCCACUGAGAGACAUCUUUUGGUGAUUAAAGCGAUAAUAUCGGCUUCGGGAGGGGCUUGCGGCCUAUCAGCUAGAUGGUGGGGUAACGGCCUACCAUGGCGACGACGGGUAGCUGGUCUGAGAGGACGGCCAGCCGGACUGGGACUGAGAUACGGCCCAG
rnacentral:rRNA from 1 species